GACGAACGCUGGCGGCGUGCCUAAUACAUGCAAGUCGAACGCAGUGGGGACGGGUGAGUAACACGUGGGUAACCUCCCAUCAGAGGGGAUAACACUUGGAAACAGGUGCUAAACCGAUACUGAUGGAUGGACCCGCGGUGCAUUAGCUAGUUGGGGAGGUAACGGCUCCACAAGGCUACGAUGCAUAGUCGGACCUGGAGGGUGGACUGCCAAACUGGGACUGAGACCAGGGCCAGACUCCUACGGGAGGCAAGAGUUGGGAAUCCUUCGCAAGUGGCCAAAGUCUUACCCAGCCACGGCUCGUGAGGGAAGAAAGUUUUCGGAUCGGAAAACCCUUGUGUUAGGGAAACGGUAUCUAACCAGAAAGCCACGGCUAACUACGUGCCAGCAGCCGCGGUAAUUC
rnacentral:rRNA from 1 species